CCGUACGGGAGGCAGCAGUGGGGAAUAUUGGACAAUGGGCGAAAGCCUGAUCCAGCAAUGCCGCGUGAGUGAUGAAGGCCUUAGGGUUGUAAAGCUCUUUUACCCGGGAUGAUAAUGACAGUACCGGGAGAAUAAGCUCCGGCUAACUCCGUGCCAGCAGCCGCGGUAAUACGGAGGGAGCUAGCGUUAUUCGGAAUUACUGGGCGUAAAGCGCACGUAGGCGGCUUUGUAAGUAAGAGGUGAAAGCCCAGAGCUCAACUCUGGAAUUGCCUUUUAAACUGCAUCGCUUGAAUCAUGGAGAGGUCAGUGGAAUUCCGAGUGUAGAGGUGAAAUUCGUAGAUAUUACGGAAGAACACCAGUGGCGAAGGCGGCUGACUGGACAUGUAUUGACGCUGAGGUGCGAAAGCGUGGGGAGCAAACAGGAUUAGGAUACCCUGGUAGUCCACGCCGUAAACGAUGAUAACUAGCUGUCCGGACACUUGGUGUUUGGGUGGCGCAGCUAACGCAUUAAGUUAUCCGCCUGGGGAGUACGGCCGCGAAGGUUAAACUCGAAAUGAAUUGACGGUU
rnacentral:rRNA from 1 species